rnacentral:rRNA from 1 species
CAGCCGUAAACUAUGCGCGUUAGGUGUACUGGUGACCACGAGUCACCGGGGUGCCGAAGGGAAACCGUGAAACGUGCCGCCUGGGAAGUACGGUCGCAAGGCUGAAACUUAAAGGGAAUUGGGCGGGGGGAGCACCACAACGGGUGGAGCCUGCGGUUUAAUUGGACUCAACGCCGGAAAUCUCACCGGAUAGGACAGACAUAUGAUAGUCGGGCUGAAGACUCUACUUGAUGAUCUGAGAGGUGGUGCAUGGCGUCAGUGACU